UACGUAGGGUGCGAGCGUUAAUCGGAAUUACUGGGCGUAAAGCGUGCGCAGGCGGUUGGUUGUUUCGGCGGUGAAAGCCCCGGGCUCAACCUGGGAAUGGCCGUUGAAACUGGCGAACUGGAGUGUGGCAGAGGGGGGUGGAAUUCCGCGUGUAGCAGUGAAAUGCGUAGAGAUGCGGAGGAACACCGAUGGCGAAGGCAGCCCCCUGGGCUGACACUGACGCUCAGGCACGAAAGCGUGGGGAGCAAACAGG
rnacentral:rRNA from 1 species